rnacentral:lncRNA from 1 species
ACCAGUAGUGCUUUCUCAGAGUAUGAUACAUUUUUGUGCUUCCAGGGUGCAUUGCAAACACUAACUCAUGGACCUCCUCAAGAAUCUCCCUUUUUAAAGCUUCAUCAUUAGGGACAUAUAACCUGUUACCUACCAUUAAUGCUCCAUCAUUUCUUACGGAACAAUCAGUUCUGUCGCCAUUUGCAACCUCCACUCGCAGCGUACAAAUCAAA